CCUUAUGCUUUUGGAGCGGCCGAUGUCUGAUUAGCUAGUUGGUAAGGUAAUGGCUUACCAAGGCAACGAUCAGUAGUUGGUCUGAGAGGACGGCCAGCCACACUGGGACUGAGACACGGCCCAGACUCCUACGGGAGGCAGCAGUGGGGAAUUUUGGACAAUGGGCGCAAGCCUGAUCCAGCAAUGCCGCGUGAGUGAAGAAGGCCUUCGGGUUGUAAAGCUCUUUCAGUCGAGAAGAAAAGGUUAUGACUAAUAAUCAUAACUCAUGACGGUAUCGACAGAAGAAGCACCGGCUAACUACGUGCCAGCAGCCGCGGUAAUACGUAGGGUGCGAGCGUUAAUCGGAAUUACUGGGCGUAAAGGGUGCGCAGGCGGUUCUGUAAGUCAGAUGUGAAAUCCCCGGGGCUUAACU
rnacentral:rRNA from 1 species